GUGAUGGGUUUGCCUACCGAAGUCCUAAGCUAGCGACAAUAAACAAUUUAGCCAUAGUCGGCCCCUCCGGGGGCUGGCGACGCCAUCAAUCUGUGCCUGGAAGUGCCUCCUUUGGGGUAUCCUACCAGCAGCUCGUUGCCCUGCGGCAUCCGAGUUCACAGAUCAAACGAUAGCGGCCACUCAGGUGGUUGAGAUAUGAUCGGCCCCCAGCUUACACCGAGCUGGCGAAAAUUUGCGGAACCUGCGGAAGGAUCAUUA
rnacentral:rRNA from 1 species